AGAAAACCAAAUGCAUGACUGUACCCAUUUGUCGCAGCUGGUGUGCGCUCCAUGCCUUCCCAUGCAAGAUAUCAAAAUCAAUCAAUCAAUCAAAUUUUAUUUGGAUAGCCCAUAUUCACAAAUCACAAUUUGUCUCAUAGGGCUUUAACAAGCUGUGACAUCCUCUGUCCUUAACCCUCAACAAGAGUAAGGGGAAACUACCAAAAAAACCUUUUUAACAGAGGAAAUAGAACUCAGAAAGAGCCACAUGUGAUGAAUCCCUCUCCCAAGAUG
rnacentral:misc_RNA from 1 species